rnacentral:rRNA from 1 species
AUUGAACGCUGGCGGCAGGCCUAACACAUGCAAGUCGCGCGAGCGGCGGACGGGUGAGUAAUGUCUGGGAAACUGCCUGAUGGAGGGGGAUAACUACUGGAAACGGUAGCUAAUACAGCAUACCAUCGGAUGUGCCCAGAUGGGAUUAGCUAGUAGGUGGGGUACCGGCUCACCUAGGGGACGAUCCCUAGAUGGGCUGAGAGGAUGACCAGCACCACUGGAACUGAGCCACGGUCCAGACUCCUACGGGAGGCAGCAGUGGGGAAUAUUGCACAAUGGGCGCAAGCCUGAUGCAGCCAUGCCGCGUGUAUGAAGAAGGCCUUCGGGUUGUAAAGUACUUUCAGCGGGGAGGCGUUACCCGCAGAAGAAGCACCGGCUAACUCCGUGCCAGCAGCCGCGGUAAUAC